AUGAAUUAAAUAGGAGGUAGUUGUUGCUGGCCUUCUUAAUGAGGGGGCAUGUGCACACUAUGUCUUUCAUUACCUUUCUCACCUGUGCACUAACUGUAGGUUCAGCCGGCUAGUUUUGGCUCGCAUGAACCUAUGUCUUCAUAUACACACACACUGUAACAAGUCCUAUGGAAUGUACGUCGCGUCUAACGCAAUACAAUA
rnacentral:misc_RNA from 1 species